CUAUCUUGUGAGUGUGCGGCAACCAAGAAAAUAUACUAGGAGCUGACAGAAACACCCGCUGCAGCUCCCCGCCCCCUCAUCCGUCUCGCUCUCCUCCAUCUACCUGAGUGGGUCACUCGUGUGGGCGUUCCUUCUACGUUUUCUGUUCUCGAAGCACUCGUUGUCUUCUUGCUGUUGCGUUCCUGCUUGCUUGCUCGCCUACUUGCUUACUUGCUUGCUGCCGUUGCUGUGUUUUCACUGUGUGUGUGUGUGUUCCUGCGUCGCUCAUCCCCGACACUGCGUCAGUGCGCGUGUAGGUGCGAAGGGCAGGCGGGGAGAGGGUGUACAUGCCACAUCCUUUCUCGCUGAUCUGGCAGCGCUCGUAACGCGUCGUCUCGCGUGCGUUUCUCUUCAUCCGUCUCCUCUUUCCCUUCUCUCGUCCACGCUCACCGUCGACACCACCACCACACGUCCUUGAUGCGCCGGUACACAGAUGCACAUGGCCAAGCGCUUCCUUGCUGUGCUUACGAUCGCUUCCUUUGCCUGCCUGCGCAUCAUAGUCGCUGAGACGCCUUGCGAGAAAGCGGGGAGAAGUGCGCCCCCGGAGCUCUUGUCCACGUCUCCACACACAUAAUCACUGUCACCUGCACGCGCACGCGCGUUGCGUGAGCAUCGCGCAAGACCGCACGUGCAGGUGUGCGCAGACAGCCGCAGCGAGCCCACCCACCGACCCCCCCCCCUUACACGCCGAUCCCAGUCACUACCGUGCGCAUCCGCGGCGCUGUGUCCCCGGUGGGCAAUCAUCAGUGACGGACACACGCACGUGCAUACGUAAGCGAAAGAGAACGAGGCCACACAACGCUUAGCUCAGUGAAAAAGACGGUGGAAAGGAGAGUCGGGGGUGAGAGCCGUUCCCUUCUCUGAUCUCUGUCCAAUCACACGCACACACACAGGCACAGACACCGUUCCAGCAGAGCGGCGUGGGCGAGGGUGGUCGCGCAUGGGUGGUGACUUUGGCGCCCCCCCCCGCUUCCUUUAGGUUUGUGCGCUCACUCGCGAGGAUCGUCCGUGUCGGCGUGUGCGUGUGUGUGUGCGCGUAUUCGCUUCUCUUCGGUAGCGCGUGGUGCUUGAUUGUUUUAAGUUGGCUUUGCAUUCCUUAUCCCCAUCGUCGCGCCCUCCGACACACCCACCCACUCCCUCCUCUUCAGGUGGGCCCUGUAGCCAUGCCGGCACGACCGCAGCAGCAGCAGCAGCAGCGGCAGCGGCGGCGGCGCCCACACCGGCCACCGUCGAAGCAACUCCUGCAGAUACGCGAGGAGGGAGGCGGCAGCUACGCAGACUCGAAAACUAAUUCUCCGUUUCUCCGCGGAACCCCGUCCUGGUCGUCGCGGACCUCGCCGUCCGCCACGGCUGCAAUCGAUGGGCACGCCGGUGGUGCCGGUGGUACAGACAGUGUCGAUCGCGGCAGUGGUGUAGAGAUGACUAGCGCCGGCGACGGCGACGACGGGGACAACAAUGAAGGUAAAAGGAUAGCGGUGAAUCUGUCAAGGGCACGGCACCCGCCGCAACACUCACGGCAGUCCCGUCCUUACUUGCGCAUGAGCCCACGCGUCACGUCAGCGCGCAAGGCGAAGAGCGGCGACCGGAGGCGUGCCUCCAGCUCCGGCAGCGGCCUUGAACGCGCCGCAGCGUCGGCUGCGCUGUCCUCCGCCGCCUCUCUUGCUAGGUCUCUCCAGGCGCCGGUGACGUCGUCAUCUGCAGUGCUGGGUGGCCAUGUCACCUACUACGGCUUCCCGUCCUCGCGCAGCCUCUCUGACUCGGACGGCAACGAGGCCGACACGCAGAACAGCAAGAGCGACUGUAGCAGCUCCUGCCUGGCCGCGGCGCAUGCGGCACCAGGGAGUGAGCCUGCGUCGCCGGCGGUGCGGGUGGGCGACUGCGGUGGCGGUGAUGGCGGUACCGUGUUUGGGAUUCCCGGUAGCGCCAGUGAUGAUGCGCGGCGGACGACGGCCAGCCGCAAGCCGGAGACGGCGGUGAGCGGUGACGGCGAAAGUGACUCUAGGGCGUACGCAUCGUCUUCGCCUCCGGGUACCACCGCGACGGCGAGCACGGCCCCACUGACAUACGCGGCAGUGGCCUCGUCGUCACUGCACGGCAAGCGACUGCCUCAGUCCCGCGUCAGCUUUAGCCAGUGGCGCAAGCGUGUAUGCUGCGGCAGCGCCUCCAUGCCAAAUACCAUCGAUGGCGCCAACACCACGCCUGGCACGUCCUCGGCAGCAGCGGCGGCCUUCCUAAACACGUUCCCCAGCGCUCCGCUGACGCUGAAGACUGCCUUGGCAGCCACGACGGCGAGCACGCCGCGUGCGACAGGCAAGAGCACACCGACAAGCACGCCUUCCGUGGACGGCAACGGCGACGGCAAAGCGAGCAUGCCAAGCGGCGACAAGCACGACUGCACGACCGGUGGGCCACGACAUCUGUCAGCGAGCGCCGUCAUGCCGCCCUUGCCUCCCUCGGUGCACCGUCACCAGCCGACGCACCUGAUUCUGCAGUUGCCCCACGCUCCACUACCGCAGCAGGCGCGCAACGGUCCUGAAUCGGACGAGGAUAUGGCAUCCGACAGCUCUCCACGCACUGCCGGCACUCCUGGUAUAGCCGCAGCUGCCGAUGAGCUGUCAUCGCCCGUGUCGCUUCCGCCGAAGAGCAACGGCACCGCUACCGCCGUCGCCACGGCGCUGCCAUCCCUGCCUCGCUCUGCAUCAGAAGUGACGUCCGCGACGGGUGUGCGCAUGCCUGGCGUACAGAAAGGUGCACAGCAGCAGCGGCAGCAGUUGAACGUCCUGAAGCCAGUCAUGUCGCCGUCGUAUACGACCUUCAGCCCCACGACCCCGACGCUCGGAGGCGCCAAAAGUGGCCCGCGCCCCAAAGUCUCCGCCACCGCCGCGGCGGCAGCCGGCAAAGGCAUGAACCGUGUCCCGUCUGCAGCCUCCUCCUUCAACGCGGCGGAGAUACUGCCCGGGCUCUUCCUCGGCGCCUACGUUGACGCCACCGACACGGAGGCGCUGGCGGCGCACGAUAUUUCGCUGGUCAUCAACUGCUCGUACGAGUGCCCGGUGACACCAGCGAUGGUGAACAACAACCAUCACGUCCGCUACGCUCAGUGUCCGCUGCGCGACCAUUCUGACGAAGUCAUCGCACCUUUCUUCACGCCUGUCACCCGCAUCAUCCACGAGCAGUUGCACCGCCGGCAAAUAAAUCAUCAGCGCAUGGCCCGCCGCGCCGCGACGAGCGCGCCGGGUGUCAAUGUGAACGACUCCGAGGAUCGCGAAGUGCAGGGGCGCAUGCCUUGGGCCUGGGCGGACGAGGCGGAGAACGUGUGGGUGGCCCCUCCGUCGCUUGUGUCGCCGCCACUGCCGGUGGGUGGGCAGCCAUCGUUCAAGGAGAGCAAGCGAGAGGCUCCCCGCACACCGUCCUCGACGCGGGGGCUCGGUGCGCGCUUCGGUGACGGUGCCGGGUGCAGCAGCACCAUAACCUCAUGCUCUCCGUCGCCGAUUCCGGGCGGCAACGCCACCUUCCCGCCCUUUGCCGCCGCGCCCAUCACGGCUGAUCCGGCUGGCGCGACGGCCACCGAAGCUCCUGGUGCUGCCGCUGCUGCUCCAGGAUCGGCGGACGUGUCUUCGGAUACGCAGAACGGCAGCAACGUCCGCACGAAUACGUUGUUCAACACGGCAACCACCACACCCCUACCAGAAGCAUCUGCCAUCACCGCACUACCCGCGUCGGCGUCGUCGCCGUCGCCGCUCACCGUCGUUGACCCACGCGACUGCGGUGGCGUGCUCGUGUGCUGCCGCAUGGGUGUGAGCCGCAGCGCCACCUUCAUCAUUGCCUACCUCAUCCUCUACGGCUGCACGCUAGCACCGCUAGACGACACCGCCUCGCUCUUCGUGCACUUCCUCGAGCGAGAGCGCCGCAUCAUCGAAGAGGCAGGCGGGCUCACCUUCUUCGAGGACAACAACGGAGGCGUCUCCAACACAUCGUCCCCGGUCCUGGCGACGGCGCCGGCGUGCCCGGGGCGCGGCAGCAGGUGUGUGAACGGGGCCCUCGCCUCGCACGGAAGUCCGGGCGUGAAUGGUGUCCAGCCAUUCGUACAGAACCUCUUGCCGCCAAACUCACCACGAACGCUCAGGCGCUCUGCUAUGAUACCUGUGUCGUCGCCACUUUCCCUCGGCGGCGGGUGCGUUUCCGGCUCCCUCACAACCCCACUGAGUGGGAAUGCCUCAACACUGUCGCAGCAGCGGCUUUGCACGGGGUCGCCCGCCACCCAGAUCGAGCUUGGCUCGCGCUUGUGCCAACCGUGCUACUUGUUGCAUCUGCGAGAGCGGCGGCUGCAGCAGAAGACUCAGCGGCGGCUUCUUAUCAGCGGGCAGCAGCAGCAGCAGCGGAGAGAGCAACGCGAUGAGGAGCAGCAGAUGAUGGCGCUGUCGGCGUCGCGCAUGGCCGUGAGAGAGGUAGGGCAAGGGUGCGGGCGGAUGGGCAGUGUCGAAGAUAAUUCGAACUUUGGAGGCAGUAGCAGCGCUACGGCAAGCGGCCGCAGCGACGGCGGACACCAAGAGGAGCAGCAGCAUCAUUAUCAUCGCCGUGUCCUCUGUGCGUUGCCGUCGUCGGCACCGGUGACCUCGUACCGCAGCGCGCGCGGGAGUCGCGCGGUGACGCUGCUGGAGGCGGCCUACGCCGACGAACGCGUUCAUGCGGAUGACGGGGUGGACGAGGAGGGGGAUCGGCAGCAGGAGGAUGGUUCGCGAAUGGCUGUUGAACAGAGAUCGGAAAGCCUUGCUGUGGUCAGUGCUACCACCACACCAACGCUGAAAAGCGACACCCAGAAGGUGCGAAACAACUUCCCAACACACAAGUUGUGCGUCGCGGCCGCAGAGGCGGCCCCCACCACACCUGAUCACAGCGCCGUUGCCGGCGAGCGCCGAGGCGACGGCGAGAACGUGUACGAAACGCCUCUGCCGUCCGGUGAGCAGCAGCAGCAGGUGCCGUUGCGCUCGUCCUGCGCGAUUCUCCCCACACAACCACCCAUGAGGGGCCGCCCCCACAGCGACCUGAACGCCAGCGCGAGCACGUUGCUAGGCGUCAGCUUUACCAGCAGCGGCGGUGGAAGUGGGAGCGCCUUCGGAGGCGCAGCGCCGGCGAUGACUUACCGCGAGGCUUUCGAUGCGGUGAAGCGGCAAAAGGCUGAUGUCAACCCGAACAUCGGCUUCGUCUUGGCGCUGCGCGAGCUCGCCGGCGGCGGCGACGUCAGCUUCAGCAUGUCCUUCUAAAAAGCCGAAGUAACGAGGAAGCGCGACGCUGAGGUGUAUAGAUGGGGCCAACGGUGUCCUUCGUGGUGUUUCGUGUUGCCUCGCUGGCGGUGCUGCUAAACAUGUUCUUUGACAAGCGAAGUCUGUGGCUGCUCGUCUCUUCGCUUGUUUUGUUGUUCACGCUGCUGUUGUUGCUGUGAUCAGCGUAUUCCUGUAGGCUGCCCGGCUGAGUAUGCGUCUUUGUGUGUGCGUCUGCCCUUGCCCGUCGCGUCUCCUCUCUUGCUCGCCCCGCUCCCUCCUUCUGCCUUUAUCAUCUCCUCCGCCUACGUCUGCAUGCAUCAUGUGAUGGAUUUCGGCGUCCUCCUCUCUCCCUCUCUCUUUCUUCCCUUCCAUGUUGCUGUGGUUGUGUUCGUGUCUGUGCGUCUGCAAGGAUGUGACCCUCUUCGUGUGCCAAUGGCGUGCUGGAUGCCGUGUAUUUUGUCCAGUCGAAAGAGAGGGAGGCAGAGACAGAAGGCGCAGGAAGGGGGGGGGGGGGGCAGAGGUUUUGCGAUAGUGGUCGCUUCUCUGGAUGCCGAUGUGGAGGCUGAGGAUGUUCGAAUCUCUGCGUGUGUCUGUCUCUGUGUGUGUGUUUGUGUGUGUCUGUGUCUGUGCCGUCUUGACCCCCUUCCUCCUCCGCACCCCGGUCACUGUUCUCUCUUUAUCUACGCGAGUCUGUCAUUCGCUUGGACUUGGCCCCACUCGACAUCAUCCAGCAGCGCAUCCGGCUUUCUUGCAUCUGUGCGCGUGAGUCUCUUGGUGGGCGACCCUCCUCCUCCUCGCCAUGCUUUAGCCUUUUCUAUGAAACACUGUUGCCGUCAGCGCUGCUGGUGGCGACUUGGUCGGAUGCUAUUCGUGCUAGCACGGCGUGCUCUGUUCCGUUCUUC
rnacentral:misc_RNA from 1 species